UACAUGGGGUGCAAACGUUGCUCGGAAUUAUUGGGCGUAAAGCGCGCGUAGGCGGUUACUUAAGUCGGAUGUGAAAGCCCCUGGCUCAACUGGGGAAGUGCACCCGAAACUGAAUGGCUUGAGUGCGAAAGAGGGUCGCGGAAUUCCCGGUGUAGAGGUGAAAUUCGUAGAUAUCGGGAGGAACACCAGUGGCGAAGGCGACUACCUGGCCUGUUCUUGACGCUGAGGCGCGAAAGCUAGGGGAGCAAACGGG
rnacentral:rRNA from 1 species